rnacentral:rRNA from 1 species
AUUCCAGCUCCAAUAGCGUAUAUUAAAGUUGUUGCAGUUAAAAAGCUCGUAGUUGGAUUUCUGGCGGGAGCGACCGGUCGGCGCUUGACGGCGUGUGCACUGGAGUUGUCUCUUGCCAUCCUUGAGGAGAACGUGUCUGGCAUUAAGUUGUCGGGCUUGGGAUCCUCAUCGUUUACUGUGAAAAAAUUAGAGUGUUUAAAGCAGGCAUUUGCUGUGAAUACAUUAGCAUGGAAUAAUAAGAUAGGACUUUGGUGCUAUUUUGUUGGUUUGCGUACCAAGGUAAUGAUUAAUAGGGAUAGUUGGGGGUAUUCGUAUUCAAUUGUCAGAGGUGAAAUUCUUGGAUUUAUGGAAGACGAACAACUGCGAAAGCAUUUACCAAGGAUGUUUUCAUCG